AUACGUAGGGUGCAAGCAUUAAUCGGAAUUACUGGGCGUAAAGCGUGCGCAGGCGGUUUUGUAAGACAGAGGGGAAAUCCCCGGGCCCAACCUGGGAAAUGCCUUUGUGACUGCAAGGCUAGAGUACGGCCGUGGGGGAUGGAAUUCCGCGUGUAGCAGUGAAAUGCGUAGAUAUGCGGAGGAACACCGAAGGCGAAGGCAAUCCCCUGGGCAUUUACGGACGCUCAUGCACGAAAGCGUGGGGAGCAAACAGGAUUAGAUACCCGGGUAGGCCACGCCCUAAACGAUGUCAACUGGUUGUCGGGUCUUCAUUGACUCAGUAACGAAGCUAACGCGUGAAGUUGACCGCCUGGGGAGUACGGCCGCAAGGUUGAAACUCAAAGGAAUUGACGGGG
rnacentral:rRNA from 1 species